rnacentral:rRNA from 1 species
CCUACGGGCGGCAGCAGUGGGGAAUAUUGCGCAAUGGGCGAAAGCCUGACGCAGCGACGCCGCGUGAGGGAUGAAGGUCUUCGGAUCGUAAACCUCUGUCAGCAGGGAAGAACGGUCACUGUGCUAAUCAGCAGUGAAUUGACGGUACCUGCAAAGGAAGCACCGGCUCACUCCGUGCCAGCAGCCGCGGUAAUACGGAGGGUGCGAGCGUUAAUCGGAUUUACUGGGCGUAAAGCGCUCGUAGGCGGUCUGUCAAGUCACGGGUGAAAUCCCCGAGCUCAACGUGGGAACUGCCUUUGAAACUGGCAAACUGGAGUGUAGGAGAGGAGAGUGGAAUUCCAGGGGUAGGAGUGAAAUCCGUAGAUAUCGGGAGGAACAUCAGUGGCGAAGGCGACUAGCUGGAACAUAACUGACGCUGAGGAGCGAAAGCGUGGGUAGCAAACAGGAUUAGAUACCCUAGUAGUC